UACGUAGGGGGCAAGCGUUGUCCGGAAUUAUUGGGCGUAAAGAGCGCGUAGGCGGUCUGAUAAGUCGGUUGUGAAAGUCGGGGGCUCAACCCUCGGAUGCCGAUCGAUACUGUCAGGCUAGAGUCCGGAAGAGGCGAGUGGAAUUCCUGGUGUAGCGGUGAAAUGCGCAGAUAUCAGGAGGAACACCCAUGGCGAAGGCAGCUCUCUGGCUUCACCCUGACGCUGAGGCGCGAAAGCGUGGGGAGCAAACAGG
rnacentral:rRNA from 1 species